CCUACGGGAGGCAGCAGUGGGGAAUAUUGGGCAAUGGGCGCAAGCCUGACCCAGCAACGCCGCGUGAAGGAAGAAGGCUUUCGGGUUGUAAACUUCUUUUCUCAGGGACGAAGCAAGUGACGGUACCUGAGGAAUAAGCCACGGCUAACUACGUGCCAGCAGCCGCGGUAAUACGUAGGUGGCAAGCGUUAUCCGGAUUUACUGGGUGUAAAGGGAGUGUAGGCGGCAAAGCAAGUCAGAUGUGAAAACCAUGGGCUCAACCUGUGGACUGCAUUUGAAACUGUUUUUCUUGAGUGCUGGAGAGGCAGACGGAAUUCCUAGUGUAGCGGUGAAAUGCGUAGAUAUUAGGAGGAACACCAGUGGCGAAGGCGGUCUGCUGGACAGUAACUGACGCUGAGGCGCGAAGGCGUGGGGAGCAAACAGGAUUAGAUACCCGAGUAGUC
rnacentral:rRNA from 1 species